CCAGGAGCAAGACGCAAUAAGCAGGUGCAGUGGAAGUAGAAACGGGCAAUGCAGUACCUUUCCCGGAAGCUACUCAGCCCUUUGGAACCUGUGGUGAUAAGGAAGAUGUGAGCCUGGAGAUACAGAAGCUACCACUGAAGCUGACACAGCAAAAGGCAGUGCCAAGGAACUAAAAGAAAACAAAUUUUGAUUACAUUUUUGGAGUUCAUGGGUCAAGCAGUUCAUGACACUGAAGCUUUUCUGCUACAUGAAUAAAUAACUUUUUCUUUGCUGUUAAAGUGGGUUUGUGCUGGCUUCUCUAUCACUCACAACAACUGGAUACUAACUGAGGCAAUACUUCCUACCUCUUACACACAUUAUACCCAUAAAACAGAAACAACAUCUAAAAUUAGAUUUCAACACAACUACCAAAGCAGAAAAGUUCAAACCAACAAGUUAUGGAUACUGUGUUACUGAAACUACAUUUCUCCUUCCAAUGUGAGUAUGGUGUUGGUGAACAUGUUGCGUGUUGAUUCUGCUAGUCUUUGUGUCCUGCACAUAGGGUGUGGACUGUGUAAUGAAUCGUUUCUUCAUUAUUUUUCUCAGCUUGCAUGGUUGCAUCACCUCCAUUCACAGAGCUCACUGUGACAGCAUUUAACCUUGUCUUGGUACAAGUGUGUAAUUUACAUAAUAGUCACCUCUGUACUUUCCUCAGUAACUUAAACAAAGGAGGCCAUCACUCACCGUGCUUGCCUUUCAAAUUAGAUUUGAUAUCAAAUUAAAGUCUCAUUUUAUUAAAUUUCUGAAGCCAAA